rnacentral:rRNA from 1 species
AACGCUGGCGGCAUGCCUUACACAUGCAAGUCGAACGGCAGCACGGGAGCAAUCCUGGUGGCGGAGUGGCGAACGGGUGAGUAAUAUAUCGGAACGUGCCCAGUCGUGGGGGAUAACGUAGCGAAAGCUACGCUAAUACCGCAUACGAUCUACGGAUGAAANCGGGGGAUCGCAAGACCUCGCGCGAUUGGAGCGGCCGAUAUCAGAUUAGGUAGUUGGUGAGGUAAAGGCUCACCAAGCCGACGAUCUGUAGCUGGUCUGAGAGGACGACCAGCCACACUGGGACUGAGACACGGCCCAGACUCCUACGGGAGGCAGCAGUGGGGAAUUUUGGACAAUGGGCGCAAGCCUGAUCCAGCAAUGCCGCGUGCAGGAUGAAGGCCUUCGGGUUGUAAACUGCUUUUGUACGGAACGAAACGGUGAGCUCUAAUACAGUUUGCUAAUGACGGUACCGUAAGAAUAAGCACCGGCUAACUACGUG